UGACCCUGAGAUCAGGACCUGAGCCGAAAUCAAGAGUCAGACUAAGCCACCCAGGCAACCCCAGCUUUAUUAUUUUUUAAGGUAGAUUGUUGAGUUUAGAUUUUUUUUCUUUUCAGUAAUUGCUACACCCAAGUGGAUUUUGAACCUAUAACCCUGAGAUCAAAUCACGAGUCACAUGCUCUACCGACUGAGCCCAGCCAUUACAGCUUUAACGUGAUUUAUUCCUUCCUCCUUCUAGAUAAGAUUUAUUAAGGUAGCCUAACUGCCUGAGAACUGCCCCUGCUUCCUUGAACCACCCCCCAAAGCACCCAAUACAAGCUAAAGAAAUCCUCCUCUAGGGGCAUCUGGUUGAGCAUCUGCCUUUGGCUCAGGGCGUGAUCCCUGGGUCCUGGAAUCGAGUCCUGCAUCAGGCUCCCCACAGGGAGCCUGCUUCUCCCUCUGCCUGUGUCUCUGCCUCUCUCUCUCUCUGUCUCUCAUGAAUAAAUAAAUAAGAUCUUUAAAAAAAGAAAAAUCCUCCUCCUGAAACACCCCCACAUUUCCCUGGGUGUGUGUGCUCUCUCCUUGCAACAACAGUCUGACAUUGUUCAACUAUGGGUGCGUUCUUAGCGGUCUUUGGUGGGAGGGCAUUGCAAACCAUAAACUCAAAAUGUUGCCCUAAAUGAAGUGUUUGCUUCCACCAAAUGCAGCAGGUGCAGGGAGAACUGGACCUGGUGCCUAGCAUAGCAGGAAGGAAGCACCGCCAGAGAGGACUGAGAGAAGAUGUGGCUUCUAGAAUGACAGCCCCUGGCCGUAGGACAGCUGCCUGCUGGCAGGAGGAGAACGGAAGCCAAGCAUCCACGUUCAGACUGCACAGGAGCUGCACUCCAGAUAGCCAUCUGGCUUAGAUAACAACCAGGGGCAUGUCCUGCAGGCUUCUAGACUUUGGAGGGGCCCCAUGGCUCUGGCAGCCUCCCCUGGCUCCAAACACCCCAAGAGAGCUCCUACGGAGUUAACAGAUGUACGCACGUCUGAGGCAGUCAUGCGGCAAGAGACUUUGGGUCCAAUCCUUCCCGUUCUGACAGUGUGUAAUCGAGGUGAAGCCAUAAAUUUUAUAAACAAGAAUAAACGACCCUUAGCAA